ensembl:lncRNA
CAGAGGCAAAGCUAGGCUUGGGGCAGCGGGUGAAAAACCAAGAUCUGACGUCACACUUCACACAUCUGACGUCCACUCGGGUCUUUCUGUCCGGGAAGAACUGCAGCCACAAAGACCUUCUGUGUGAGACAACAAUCUCCAGCCCUGGUCCUGUCUGCACUAACUGUGGAGCUGAGGUCAAAGAAGACACCAUUGUGUCUUUAGAAAGCACACAGCACCCUUCUCACAGGAGAAAACCCCAUGUAGAUACCAGGGAAGACCUCACCAGGGAAGACCUCACUAAGACCUCUGUGUCCAAAGCAGGGAGGGGUACUUCAAACACAAACACUCUUGGUCAGACAACCUGUCGCUCCAACAUUAGAUCUGACUUCCCUAAAGGCCUGCAGCAGGAAGUUAUGCCAAGUCAAGCAUUGGACACAGCAAUACCAACUCCCUCCCUCCCCUACAGAAAUAACACUGACCCUUCUGAUGGUGCUGAAGUUAAAUUAAUUAAAGGGAUUCUUAAAAAGCCCCCCAAGUGCAGAGUCUCUGGAGGAGAGGCCAGGUCCAGUCUGUACAGGGCCGGGCAUUUAAUGUUCACCAAACAAGUUGCCAUUUCCAUCAGAGAUAGUGUGGAACUCACCAGAACGAAGGUCAGGAAUGCAGAGGACAACAGUAAGGUCAAAAAGAAGAUACGCUGGCUGGACGAGGCCAAGCUUGAAGAGGAGGAGGAGGAGAAGGAGAUCCAGCCUGAUCAUCAUUUAAAAAACAAGCCCUCAUUUCCUCAACAUAACCAACAGCAGAGUCUUGGCUUGGCCCGGGCUCACACCUCCACCCCCGGAUAUCAUUUCACCAAGCAGGCCUGGGCAGAUGUCAGGGUUCAGGAGAGACGCCAGGAGGCCUGGGAGACCCGAGUGGAGGUCAGGGGGCAGCGAGGGAGGGGCGGGAGGCCCGGGUUCCCCAGGGUCCCCAGGAGAGUGGGGUCUGCCAGGGCCGGGACAGGUCCCUCUCUCUCCAGAAAGGGUAGAGUCAUCCGAACCCAGUCUGCCAGCGAGGCCAGUAGGGACGUGGUCAUGGUGACCCAGGGCAAGGUCAAGGCACCUCGCCCCCCACCCCGGGCAGACCCCCAGGAGCACCGCGCUCAGCCAGGAGAGGCUGCAGCUGUAGUUUCAUACAGCACUAAGAGUCCUCAUGGUGUAUUGGAUCCGACCAACGCGUCUGUGUCAUUCAUCACAGUGCACUCCAGUGGUGCUCCGGCAGGUGUUUCGGUUGAGCGGGCCUUUUGUAACAGGGACACGCUGGAUGGCUUCCACCUAUCCCAUGCACAAGUCCUCAAAGCAGGUGGCGGCGUCAUCUUCAUGCCGUUGCCUCCACCGUAUGCCUCUUCCUGCACGAUUUCCAGCCCUUCCACAACCACCCCCGGGUCAGUCCAGCGGGAUGCCCUGGGAGGGCCUGCCAGGCGGGGGAUUCUCUACGACAAGGGCCUUUGCCUGGGCCACACCCCCACAGACGAGGAGAUCUCUCAGCUCUGGCAUGGAGUCCGCAGAGCCUUGACCACCAAGGAGGAUGACCAGAGAAACUCCCCAUACGAUAAUUUGUGUGCCUUGCCUCAAGCCCACGCCAACCUAUCCCACACCACCACCAGCGGACACAGGCACAGCUGUGGAGUCAAAGCUGUUACCGGGACAGAAGGCUUCUUCGUCUCCUCAUACAAUGGCAGAGGCCUGGUGAGGAAGCCAACCCAGGAGAACUGUGGGCCUAGGAGGAGAGGAGCACCUGGUUCAGGGAACAGAAGGCUUCCUCUUCCAUCCCAGUCACAGGUACAUACAGGAGGUCUUCUUCUAACAUCACAGGAACAUACAGGAGGUCUUCUUCUAACAUCACAGGCUUUAGGGCUGAUGACAGCUUUGCAGACCAAAAAUGACCUGACAUAUCAAGGUGAAGAUUCAGAAUAUGCUGCAGAGGCAGACAGUGAGAUGGCGGUUGCCGUAGAGACCAUCCAGACACCAAGGCCUCCCCUUGGUCUUCCACAGCAACGUAGCCAUGCCCAGGGGCAGUGGUGCCCACAACAGGGCCAGAACCAGGGCCUGACCACCAUAUCCCUGGAGGAACAAAAGGUUCUGCUCUCCUUGGAUCGACUCAACCAUCAGCUGCAGUAUGUGCAAGAGUAUACUGGAGGCAACGCCGCUGGUAAAGCCGUCCUACAAGGCAGCUCACCCUUUGCCGGGGGAGUGUCAGCUGCUGGCCCCCGAAGGCCCCCCAACGUCUCCGCUUACAACCGUUCCAGAACACAGAGAAGAUUCUGACACAACGUUUCAAUAUGGCCACCUGAAUGGGACCGUCUCUGCGUUAUUACUGUACCUGCUAAGAGAGCACUUUAUACAAGCCCUCCCCACGGCUCCACACCAC